rnacentral:rRNA from 1 species
UACGGAGGGUGCGAGCGUUGUCCGGAAUCACUGGCGUAAAGGGCGCGUAGGUGGCGCGGCAAGUCGAACGGUGAAAGCUCGACGCUCAACGUCGAGUCGGCCGUCGAUACUGCUGGGCUUGAGCACUGUAGAGGCAGAUGGAAUUCCGGGUGUAGCGGUGGAAUGCGUAGAGAUCCGGAAGAACACCGGUGGCGAAGGCGGU